rnacentral:rRNA from 1 species
UACGGAGGGUGCGAGCGUUGUCCGGAAUCAUUGGGCGUAAAGGGCGCGUAGGUGGCCACUUCAAGCGUGCGGUGAAAGUCGGGGGCUCAACCCCUGAUCGGCCGUGCGAACUGGGAGGCUUGAGCACUGUAGAGGCAGGCGGAAUUCCGGGUGUAGCGGUGGAAUGCGUAGAGAUCCGGAAGAACACCGGUGGCGAAGGCGGUUAGCUGGGCAGUUGCUGGACACUGAGGCGCGGACAGCGUGGGGAGCAAACAGGG